rnacentral:rRNA from 1 species
UACGGAGGGUGCGAGCGUUGUCCGGAAUCACUGGGCGUAAAGGGCGCGUAGGCGGCCUGAUAAGUAGGGGGUGAAAUCCUGCGGCUUAACCGCAGGGCUGCCUUCUAAACUGUCAGGCUUGAGCACAGUAGAGGCAGGUGGAAUUCCCGGUGUAGCGGUGGAAUGCGUAGAGAUCCGGAAGAACACCGGUGGCGAAGGCGGCCUGCUGGGCAGUUUGGCUGACACUGAGGCGCGACAGCGUGGGGAGCAAACAGG